AGUGAACGCUGGCGGUAGGCCUAACACAUGCAAGUCGAACGGCAGCACAUAGGAGCUUGCUCCUUGGGUGGCGAGUGGCGGACGGGUGAGGAAUACCUCGGUAUCUAAUUUGUCGUGGGGGCUAACGUAGGGAAACUUACGCUAAUACCGCAUACGACCUACGGGUGAAAGCAGGGGACCUUCGGACCUUGGGCGAUUGAAUUAGCCGAUGUCGGAUUAGCUAGUUGGCGGGGUAAAGGCCCACCAAGGCGACAAUCCGUAGCUGGUCUGAGAGGAUGAGCAGCCACACUGGAACUGAGACACGGUCCAGACUCCUACGGUAGGCAGCAGUGGGGAAUAUUGGACAAUGGGCGCAAGCCUGAUCCAGCCAUACCGCGUGGGUGAAGAAGGCCUUCGGGUUGUAAAGCCCUUUUGUUGGGAAAGAAAUCCAUCUGGUUAAUACCCGGGUGGGAUGACGGUACCCAAGGAAUAAGCACCGGCUAACUUCGUGCCAGCCGCCGCAGUAA
rnacentral:rRNA from 1 species